rnacentral:rRNA from 1 species
UACGGGGGGGGCAAGCGUUGUUCGGAAUUACUGGGCGUAAAGGGCUCGUAGGGGGCCAACUAAGUCCGACGUGAAAUCCCCAGGCUUAACCUGGGAACUGCGUCGGAUACUGGAUGGCUUGAAUUCGGGAGAGGGAUGCAGAAUUCCAGGUGUAGAGGUGAAAUUCGUAGAUAUUCGCAAGAACACCAGUGGCGAAGGCGGCUCACUGGCCCGGUACUGACGCUGAGGUGCGAAAGCGUGGGGAGCAAACAGG